CAUCGAGGCGGAGUUGACGAUCUUGAUGGUACGGGUGAUGUUGAUCUUUCCGUAGUGGUACGAGCCCUGAGGAUUAGGCCUGGCAGCGCUGGCAGUAAGGUUCCAGCGGAAGGAACGGAACUGGUUGAGAGACCAGGCCCAUCCUACAGGAGCUUCGGGGAGCUCGGGGGAUGCAGGGCCGUUACUGUUUUCAUAGCGGAUUAUGCCUUUGCCGGUGAGCACGGUCUUGGUGAAUCGGGUCGAGGCUACCAUGUAGUAGUCCUUGCGCUCUUUGUCGGCAGUGACGAGCAACGAGAAGCAUUGCCCCAAGUGCACGUCAAGGGACUCGUAGGUGUUCUGGACGGUGUGGGAGCCUUCCAUCUCGACAAGCUUUAAGGGGUGGCCUUGGAUCCUGAAGUUGAGGGAGUUCUUGAAGCCCACGUUGCAGACCCUGUACUUGUAGGUCUUCCCUGGCUUCAUGGUGAAGAGGGGCUCGUCUUUGCCGUCUCCCUUGGCGUUCUUGCCGUUGAUUAGGAUGCCGUCGGGCCUUCCCAUGGUGCGGCCGCUGUCCAAUAAUUUCUUGAGAGCGGUGUGACUUUUGGUGUACCAGUCGCCGAUCAUAACGGUGUAUUCAUCCUCGGGAUCAGCAUAGGGGACGGGAAUGAGCAGACGACUGUUGAUGCGGAGUCCACCAAAGCCGCCUGCUGCCCUGUGCAUGGCAGUGACGGGAUAGUACAUGUAGCUCCCGAUCUGAUCCUUGACUUGGAAGCGGUAGGUGAAGUUGGUGCCAGGGACGAUGGGGCACAUGGUUCCAAGGGUUCCAUCCUGCCACGAAUUCUUCCUCUGCUGGAUGCCGCUCCAUGUCAAAAGGAAUGGCUCAUCGAGGUUGUUGAAGACGUUCAAGACGAUGUUGUUGUUGGAGGUGGAGUUGAUGUUGGGUCCUGGGAACUGGCCAUUGAUGAGAAUUGCUUGCUGGGGGACUCCGAGGGGAGAGAUGGUUCCGUAGGUGACAUUCCAUGUGAAGAACAGGUAAGGGUCUUCGCCCUGGACCACUGAAAGUGCCCCGGCUGUAAGGCACAGCAACAACGCAUACAUCACGGAAGCCAUAUCUCUCUCUCUUAUUCCUAUCGAUCUAUUAAUUUCAACCCUUUCCUCACGCAAUAUAUAAUUAUUAAUUCCUAUCGAUAUCUAUGGUUUUAUUUGAAGAAGAUUGUUGCUUCUUCUUCUACGAUCUUUCUCGUUCCCAAUUCUUCCCUUUUUAUACACUUGUUUCACAGUUUUUCCACCGCUCAAAUUAACUUUCCGGAAACGUCUCUCAGCCCGCCCUUCUUUCUUGUCCCUUGCAUUGCGCCCGCCCUUUCAUUUUCUUUUCCUACUAUUUUUUCACCUUUGGACCCCUUCUCCUUGACAAACACAAACACGCAUGCACAAACGAAACAACCAAGACCACGUCAAAAGAUUCAACCACCCGUGGCUAAAGGUAGUUAUUUUAACCGAAAAUAUUGUGCCGGGAGAUUGCAAUACAUAAAAUGAGCCAUUUUAACUUGAGAAACUUUCUUUUUUGUUUUUUUGUUUGUUUAUUGAUAGGAUUAAAUUUACACCACAAAGUAGCAUAAAAUGUCCUAUUAAUUUUCCUUAUUAACACUAAGAUUUGUUAUUUGUAACAUACGAAAAUAUAGGAUUUUUUCCGUGGAAGAUUGUCUUGCCUAACUUCUUAAAGUACCACAAAAACUAGGUUGCUAUCCUAAUGACCAGCCAUUGAAAAAUAAUUAUUAGACUAACUUACAGUUAUCUAAAUUCAAUGAAAUUUUAUAUACAAACAGACACACGGAGGUACACUCACACAAAAUUUCAAGAUUUUUGGAGUUGGUUUGCUAUUUUAAUUAAAUUCAACAAAACCAUAAUAGCAACAAUGAUAAAAUGACGAAAAAUAGAAUUUAGUUCACAAAUUAAGAAAAUGAGUUAGGGGAAGUGCUAUCCUGUCACAUCCCGGCCCGAGACGGACCACUUCCCGGGCCCGCUCCACCACCGUAACACAAUAUUAUCCGUUUUGGGCUUAUCAUUCCCUCACGGUUUUGUUUUUAGGAACUUACGAGCAACUUCCCAGGGGUCACCCAUCCUGGGAGUGCUCUGGCCCCUUUUUUGCUUAACUUCGGAGUUCCUAUGGAACCCGAAGCCAGUGAGCUCCCAAAAAGCCUCAAGCUAGGUAGGAAUGAGAAUAUACAUUUAAGGAUCACUCCCCUAGGCGAUGUGGGAUGUUACAUAUCCAACACCAAAUAAUCAUGCAAACAUGUUAUCUUUCAUUCAAAUUCCUUUUAUUUCUAGAUCAAGAUGCUCAAGUUGGCUCACUAUUAGAACUCAACUUAUUACUCUCUCUUACGUAGUAUGUUAAGAGAAUGGUGUUUUCAACUUAAUCUCUAGUAUGCAAUCUAGAAUGGCGUGUUCAUCAAUUUAUGAUGUAGAAAUCAUUAAGAACGAAAAGAGUUUGAGUCAACACAGGGCAUCGUAAAUACUGGCGUUGUCUUACUUAUCCUAGAAAUUGGUUCACAUGUUAAUUGCAAUUAACAAAUACUACUCUAGAACAUAUGUAGGUCCUCAUUCGGUAAGGGUAGGCACACACAUGUUCAUAGCAUUAGAAUCCUAUAUAUGCUUACAAAGUAUGCAUCCAUAGAAAACACAUAAAGUAUUCAUCACUAACAUAGGUAGUGAACCAAUUUUCAUCCUUCAUAAGAGAAAUUCAAACAAAAAGUCAUAACAAACUUGCAAUCAUUUUUUAGGCUUCAAACAGCCCCUAACUUCUAGAAAUUAGUUACACAUAAUUCUUAAAUUAAACCAAAAGAAAGACAUGAGUUUGAGAAGAUGAAACCAAAAGAAUAGAGUGUUAUCCUUGUUGCUUUUCCUCACUCGUUCUUGCUGCCUUCUUGUUCUCUUCUUCACAUUUGGCUUCUUUUCUUUUCUUUUCAUAACCUUUCAAAUGUGUUAUGGUUUCCAUCAUCAUGAGAAUUCAUUCCUAAUUAAAGCCAAUUAGUAUGGAGACUUGUGGAUUUCUUCGCUGCAUCAAUUGUGGCCGUUAGGAUUUAUUGUGUUUAUUGCCUUCAUUGCUUUCUUGUCAAUUACAAACUGCUCAGCCUUUAGGGAACAUUUCAGUAUUAAAAUAAGCAUAACUUCUUAUUAAAAAAUGAUAUAAAAGUCGUAAAGUGCUCUAGAAAAUAGACAUUCGUAGCUUUCCACGCACAUUAAAACUCAUUCUCUGAUUCAUUCUGAGUUGUUCGCAACUCGCUGCCAAAGUCAGCUGAUCUGCACAGGCAAUUUUGACGAAUUUGCUAUUUAAAAUCUCAAUUGUGCUCCCUUUCUUUUCUUUGCCUGAAAAAAUCCUACAAAACACAAAAACAAAGUAAAUAGCUCAAAAAUACAAGGAACUAACUUAGAAAAGACAAGUAAAUUUGAUGUAAAAAAAAAAAUAUAUAUAUAUAUAUAUAUAUAUAUAUAUAUAUAUAUAUAAGCUUAUCAAAUACUCUUACACUUAACUUUUGCUAGUCCUAGGGCAAAAUAAAGAAAACAUGAAAAAGUAGUAACACGGAAAACAUUAGCUUCCCCCUAUGUGACCCUCACAGAAUUUCAUUCAAGAGAACAGAUCAUUGAGAACCUUAGUUAGCACAAAACAAGCUAAUCCAAGCUAAUCUUCCUUGUUCAAAUGUUAGCAGUAACUUUUUGAUCAUCCUUAAAGUGUAGUGUGUGUAAUAGCCAUGCUAAUACAAUUUCAAGUUUCUUUAAAACACCACAUGUAGACAUGUGACCUUCUCACAGGACAUACACUCAUUCCCAUGUAUGUCAAGGUUAACGUGUUUCGCUCAAGAAAUCAAAUGCGAAAGAUCUACCAUAAGCUUGCAUAACGAUCUUAUCUCCACAAUCAUAAUUGCAAGACACAGUUGUUUACUGUUUUGCAGGUUGCUCAGGUAUACUUGGAUAUGCGUUUGACCACCGCCCAUGGAGGUGCACGAAUUUGGUUUCAACAAUUGGUGCUUUCAUUGAGAGAAGACUCAUAUUCUUCUCAGCCAGAUCACUAUGCCAUAUGGAAGUUAUGUCCAGAAGAACAUCCCAUGAUCAGGACACAGGCACAAGGGAUGAUUAUGCCCCAUUUAUAAAUCCAGUCUAGGAAAAUGCUCUAAUGAUAUGCACAUCAACAAGAGAUCUUAAAAAGAACUUAUGAACCAGGGAACAAGCUAACCACUCCAAACUAGAUGAAAGGAUGAAAGCUAUCAAAGACACAAUCGCCCGUCUCGAAGUCUCUGGCCUUUAGGUUCCUCCAGGACAACGAACCCGAAUCUAAAUCACAUGGCCCCGAAACUUGUCCCAAUUAGAGGCAUUAAAGAACCAUCGAAGACCUUAGGUUUACUACCACCCCACCAUUCAGGGAAGAGAUAUUUCCCUAACAAUAGCCUUAAAGGAAGAAACUGGGACUAUUUCAAAAGGGCUUAGAAAGGGAAAAAGACGAUGCGAAAGGCUCAUCAUCCCAAAAAUCGCGCCACCAACCAGAAGACAUUCUCUCCCUCCCUAUAAUGCCCUUGUGGUCAAGUUGUAAUUCUCUGAUGCCAUGGUGGGCAAGUUCCUAAUUGACAACGAGUCAAAUGACAACUUCAUCUUCAUACACGUAGCUAGAAUGAUGGGUGUCCUCGACAAAAUCAACUUCAAAAGAUCCACCAUUCAAGCUCUUAAUGGGGUCCCACACAACAUUAUGGAAACUGUACAACUCAAGGUAUAGGAAAAACUAUUUGAAUAUUUGAUGGCUUUCUAUGUGAUAUGUAACGACCAAUCUUAAAAAUUUACGUUUUAAUUCAUUAAAAUUAUGAAAAUACCCCUAAUGACGAAAACGUUGACUUCCGUUAACAUGUAGGAAAUUUUCUUUUAUUUUAUUUUUGUAGCACUCGUUGAUACGAACGUGUAGACGAGAACGAAAUUGAAUUCAAAGCUAAAGCUUUUACGAAUUUUUGAACGUCAAGGGCAUUUUGGUAAUUUCACAAUUAAAGAUAUUUCUCCACUUUGGGCUUCUCCUAGAGUGACACGUGGCAAUUUCCCUUAUUUCUGGGGUGUUCUUCCCGUGACCCCUUUUUCCCUAUUUUCCUAUUCUUCUUUUUCUUUUCCCCUAUGAACUUUUCUCUUUCUAGAACAUUAUCUAUCUCUCUCCUUAUCUAUCUUCCUCUCAUCUCUCAACUCUUCUCCUCUUUCCGGAAAAGCACACAAACAUCAUAACCAUGACAAGACAUCCACCACUGUUCCCAUCAUGCUAGAGCCGAUCACCACCAUUUGGCAGCGACGGGAAUCACUAUCCUCGACUAGGCACCCAUAUAUCUCUCUCAUUCUCGGUACUGUAGCACAGUCACUGUGCUUGUGUUCUCCGGUGAGUUACGUUGUCUACGACCAAGGUAAACCUUCUAGAACUCCUUAGAUCAUGCUUUUAAGUUAGAUUAGAAUAGUUGGUAUGUGUUAAUCAAGUGUUGGACGCUAGAAACAGCUUGGGGGAAACUUUUCCUAGAUUUUGGCGAGAACUGUCGUCUUCCGUGCCAUUUUCCAGCCAACUCCGCCCACAAUACAUCUCUAAAAUGGUACAAACUUCUUCUUAUCAUUAUAAGCUUCAUUUCCAUAGCUAGAACGUUGAAAAUUGUGAAGAAAUGAGCUCGAACGGAGCUCUAGAAACUCUGCCCAGAUUUCGGCUGACCCACAGCCUGAAACCGGGUCGACCUGACUCGCAACCCAAAAUCGAACCCAACCCAACUACCAGGCCCAAUCCAAUAACCUAGUUCAACCCAGUAACUUUAAACUCAGAUUUGACCUGACCUUGACCCAAUCCUAGUUUCCAUGGUUGGCGCGUGGGCUGCGUGUGGAUGCGCGUGGAUGGCUAUCUUAGCCGGUGCGUGGAGCAUACGCACCUCUGUCAACCACGACAGCGACUACGAGUUUUUCGACGACCAAUCUCUGAGCGUGCAGUGGUGUGUAGCCUUACGAGUCACUGCCUUAUGGCAGAGCGUGGGGAAACCUGAGGUCCCUCCUUAGGUUUUUCGACGUGCUAAAUCUGAAUCCGCUAUAUGUUUUCCCAAUUCUAUCGUUUUAGUAAAGUUUUAUUAAAUGGUCUUUAUUUGUGUUUAGGUACAUUGGUUGGAAGUGACCCUUUCCUCCCUAGUUCUAGCGGUUCCCUAGUAGCGGAAUAUUUAUGAGUGGAUCACUUCUUAAAUUGCAUAUUUUAAUAUAAUGCUAGGCUUGCAUUCACAAAAAGAAUGAUUUCAUGAUUUUACGUUUUAUGCAUUAUUUAUGAUUUAUCAAAUUUACGUUCUACGAAAGGUUAUGAAUUAUUGGAUUUUCGUAUAUGAAAUUCUAUGGAUUUAUGAAUAUGAUUUAUUUUGGAUUUAUGAAUUGAGGCUUUGAGCUUUUGAGCUCCGAAUUUGAUAUGAGAUUUUUUAGAUACGUUUUUUGUGCUUAUUUAGUGGGUUAUCAUACAUCACAUUCACACAACCGAGUAUGUUAAUGCCUUUGGUCAUAGAACACAAUUGAUGAUGUUUAUGACAUACUACCAACUUCACUAGCCACGGCUAGUGUCGAUGUUUUAUGUUAUAUGUAUAUGUUUCUUCUUUGGUGUAACCCAGAGUCAUACAGCUUCAUCUUCGGGUGAUGGACCCCUAUAUUUCUUCAUUAGCGUAAACUAGUGUCGUACAGCUUCACCUUCAGAUGAUGGACCUAUUACGUACGUUUCUUCUCUGGCGUAACGCAGAGUCAUAUAGCUUUACCUUUGAGUGAUGGACCCCUAUAUUUCUUCACUGGCGUAACCUAAUGUAGUACGGCUUCACUUUCAAGUGAUGGUUAUGUCUUCGGGCCACUAUGAUACCCCUAGUUGAGUAUACCAUUGAUUUAAGUUAUGAGAUUUUUGGGUUUUGCCUUCUGGCGUUUUGAUACCACCUUUAGAGAUGAUUUUUAUUACUACAAACAUUUUUGGCAUGUUAGAGGUUUAGAAAACCUAUAUGUAGUAUUAUAUACAUUUUCAAAACCGGGGGGAAGGGGGUUCACAAAGAAAUUGGCUUUUAUUAUUAUUAGUAUUAAUAUAAAUUAUGGUCCACUCACCUUUUGUUUUUGCGCCCCCUCAGGACAUAGUGACGAGGAAUAUGAGCAUCGAGGCAUUUCCUUACUAGUGAUCUAGCGUUCUUCCACUUGCGUAUGGUUUUCUUUUAUGAAUAAUUGUAACUAGAUGUCUUACCUUUCACUAGUAUUUCCAUUUAGUGGUAUGCUCUGGACAUAUUCGUACAUCUUUCAUUUUGAAAUUGUAGCUAUUGGACAUUCUGUUUUGAUUAUGUUUAAUUUGGAUUAUUAUUAUUGCCUCUUAGCAUUUGUAUAUUCUUGAGGAUAUGAUUUUUUGAAUUACUUGUUCUCUCUUGUCCUCGCAAAUUCAUAUAUUCAUGGCUUUCAUCACUUUCAAGUGGCGGCCAGCAGGUGCCAUCCAUGUCUCAUUUAGAUAUCUGGGUUGAGGUGUGUCAUGAUAAAUAGCUCAUCCUCUACAACACUAUCCUUGAUCGAGAAUGGUUGCAUUGACACUAUCUCAUCAACAAGUAGUACCUUACCUUGCUACCUAAGAAUAAUGACGAACAAAAAAGCCCGAGAAAGAUAAAAACUUGUGCUGAGAGAUAUGAUCCCGGCUAAAGAAAAUCAAACCCCUUACUGAUUAUUCCAAGGAGUACCUCACUCGUUUAAAACAAGGCCUAAACUUUGAAAACUGCACACAUAUGCAAGUCUCAAAAAGUUCAAAGUUACACUGUUAGAAGAGCCUUUUUAGCCAGUUCGUCUUGAACGGUUAGCAACUUGAGCUCAAGCUGUAAUAAGAACAAUAACGGUCGUCGGGCUAGGGGCAUAGGCACAUGACGCCUUGACCCAAUGCACCAUACGACCUCCAAUAUGUUUAUACAACCAGUAAGGUUAUGGGUUAUAACUACGCCAUUCAAGGGAAUAGUCGAAAGCACGAUCCAGAAAUCAUCAAAUGGUGGCUCUGAAAUUCGACCCUGAGUACGACUAUUUGCAUCAUGAACCAGCAUACUAAGCCAAGUACGUUCUACAACACUAUGUGUUAGCAGGUUCGAAUGGGGCAUCAUCCAUAAUAGGUAAUCCCCAAGAAGAAUUUUAUUCCAAUUGAGCUCCAAUAUGUGAAAAUGCUUUGGUCAGGCCAACCAAGGUGAUCUGAUCGGAAACGCUAAGGUCCGACACAUAUGAUUAAAAAAAUGUUUUCAGCCCACCUACGGGCGACCAGGUCUCCAAAGAACUUUCAUUUAAGAUUCAAUAGAGUUGAACACACAAUUUGGGCUAGGAAGAUUUCCCCUUAGGCAUCACGUUGCAAUCAUGAAAGCCUGUGACCCGAGAACUGGGGCAAUGAGUAAAACAAUCAACACAUGUUUACAGAAUAUUUUUAAAACCAUGAUUUUUCAAGGCUGGAGUAAGGCUGGUCCAAAUACAGUUACCUUAAAAGUCUAGUAUAGACUCACCAGCUCCGAGUUGAGUUAUAUCGGACAGAGUAGCGGUGCCACCAUCAGAUCCUAUAAGUCUUCGAGUUCCUACAACCUAGGGAUUGGCAUGCGCUGUAAGUAAUCAUAAUUCUUAAGAAGGUGCAAUAUCUACUUCUAGAUAUCAUCUAGGAUUCUCCCAACUUAGAAUGAAGUUUAUAUCCUAAAAAUGUCUCUCUCCCCAUGGUAUAAAUACAUCGAUUUAGGGUUCAUCUAUAGUAACACAAUCUAAACACUUGAAUCAUCUUGCCCAUUGUUUGAGUCUAAAAUCAUUCACUAACUUGACUGUCGGAGAGUCUUGGCCGACACACACACCCUCUCCCCGCGGUCUUAGGCUUGUCCACUGUUGUUUACUGUUUUGCCGGUUGCUUAAGUUUACUCGAAUUUGCACUCAACCACCGCCCAUAUAGGUGCACAAAUUUGGUUCCAACAUUAACUGAUAAUUUGGCCUUCAAAGUCGUGCAUUGGCUCGAAUGAAUAACUAUCGAAUAACUAGGUUUUUCUGAAAUCCGUGCGUUGGCUCUAGUGAUGGACUACUGAAUACUAGCUGGGCUCUUGAAAAAUCAUGUGUUAUCUCUAGUAUAAUAACUUGACCAAUUCCCGAUGUUUGAAUUGGUUUCCCGAGUGACUUCGUGUGAAGUCACUUGUGAUUGUGAAGAGGCUUGUUGGAGAAUAAGAUCUCACAUCGAUUACAUGACAAUAUAAUAUACAAUUAAUAUAUGGGAGUUUCCACCUUUAAUAUUACUGAAGCCUUUUGUGAUAAAACCUAACAACUAGUAAUAAGUUGUUAAGUUGGGAUAAUAUCGGUGAUGUUGGUGGUGGACCAUGUUAUGCCUAUAAGUUUAUUUAGAAAUGUUACUCUUACCACAUUUGUACCACCUCAAUAGAGAUGUGACCCAUAUAUAUUGGUGUGUCUACCUCUAUUAAAAAGGUUGUACAAAUACAAUAUGAAAAAUGUGAUAAUUGUAUUACCCUCUAUAUACAUGGAAAAUGCCAGGGAGACCUAUCACAUUUUGUAAACCACAUGAUGUGACGAUAAGUAAGACUUCAUAAUUUAAAGAAUUUAAUAAACAAGACCAAUGGUCAACCACAUUAUGUAAUUUACAAAAUGUGAUUUAUAAAAACAAUCUUUCUAAAAUUACUCUACAUAUACAUAAAAGAAAAAUAAUAAAAUGGCAAAAUAAACCAAAUAAAUAGGUGUAAAAAAUAGAUGAUAAAAUAUUCCAAAUUAAAUAUAGGAUUAAUAUUAGUUUACAACCUUGAAGUUUCUUGGUUUUCAACAUUUAGUACAUCAAGUUUUUUUCAUAACAGAGUGGUACUUGAAGUUAUAAUUUUGGGACACUUUCAUACAUCCAUUAAGGUUACUGUUAAAUUAGCCGUUAGCCAGUGACGUGGCACCCACAUAAACAAUGAAUGGACGUCAUGUGUCAAUAUGGGCCUACGUUAUCAAAAAAAUUAUAAAUUCACAAAACUCUUUUGCUCACUUGCCAAAAUUUUUGUUUUUCUUCCCUUUUUCCCCUCUCCCCUCUCAAUUUCCUGUAUUUCAUGUUUUUUGUAUUUCCUUCCCAAGGAUCAAGAAGCUCCUCACAGACGGAAGUGAACUUCCAGCACUUGGACCUACCCCAAUAGAGCCAUCUCAACUACCUUCCUUUUUUUUGCAAGAACCAAGAAGUCGAAGUCGAAAUAUAAUUGGUUGGUUGAGUGGGACGGAAAGAAAUCGAAGUCAAAGUCGAAUGGGUCAAAAAGAUUUUGGGGAUUAGGGUUUUUGAAAAGGUCGGAAUAAUAGGAAGAGAGAAUGGAAGGAAGGUGAAGAGAGUAGGGGAAAGGGAAGAUGUGAGUCGGGUAUGGAAGUGAUGGGUCGGGAGAUUCUAAGAUUGGGAGCGGAGAGAAGCAUAUGAAGAGGCGGUCGUUGUGACGUCGACGCCGGAAAAUGACGACGGAGAAAGGUGGUCAGAGAUUUGGGAGGGGCAGGUGGUGGAACCAAGUGUGAAGAUUAUGAAGCGCUUUUUGGAGGAGUAGGCAUUCCAGCUUUUUCCAGCUAUAUAUACAAUCCUUUUUUUUUCUAUUUUGCUUUUGGGAAAUUUUAUUUAAACCCAUGUAACCUCUUUCUACACCCAACUUAAAUUUUAAAUGUUAAUUGUCUAUUUUACCCUAUUGCAUAAUUACUAUUAAGUACAAAAUGAAAUUAAUAAUAAAACUUAAAUUUCUCAAUAAACCCAGACACUAUAAUUAAACCCCUAGCAUCACCCUUUGUAUCCUACCUCCAUUUUGGCUAAAACCCUAAUAGUUCUGAUAGAGAAAAACAAGCUUUUUUAUUGAUGGAUAGUGAUUUUGAAGUUUUGAAUCCUCUAACUAAGGUAUGACUUGAUUUAUGAAUAUUUUGUUUGUUUGCUUCUUCUUUGGAUUACAUUCCAUACUUAUUAUAUUAUAUUGUAUCAUAUUUGUUUGUCUCUGUCGUCUGUCUGCCCCCAAAACACCAUUGCAAGAACUUUUGAUAGUAGUGUAAAGACAUAUAACUUGAUUCUUGGUGCAAAUAAUGAUUGUCCAACCUCAUAAACCUUGACCACUCACUAGCGGUGACAUGUCUCCAUCCAAAUCCAAAGCAUCAAGGUCAAAGGUUUAUGACAAAGUGAAGGACUGAACUAGAGCUUGCAUUGCAUUUUCUAGCAAAUUCAAAUCUAUAGAAGGAUCUCUUGGAUCCCAAGUCUAUGGAUGGGUUUGGUAGCAGGAAAAAAAAAACAGCCAUGGAAAUGCUAGUCAUAUGCAAUUAUACAGGGGCAAAGGAAAGUCAUUAGGAUCAUAGGCUGGGUUAAUCUGCAUGAGCCAAAGAGAGAGAGCAUAAAGAUCUUUACAUAUGUGAAACAUAAACCAGAAAAAACAAAUUUAAUCCAAUCACUUGGAACUUAUAUGUUAAACUUUACCUUCACAGCACCAAUCCCAAACUCUGGAUCAACCAGAAUUUCAUCACGUAUUAUAGGAAUUCUUCUUCCAUUGAAAGGAUGGAUUGAAAGGAUGGAUGGCAUGUUGUCUAUACCUCUCGUCAUUAGGAUGUACAAUAAUGGCAGUAUCACCGAGCAUAGUUUCCACUCUAGUGGUGGCCACCAUAAUCUCACCAAAGUCUUCCUCUAGAGUAUAAGCAAAUGAAGUUAACAUGCCAAAUUCAACAAGGUUCUCAUAUCCAAGAACCUUGAGUAAUGUCGUAUCUCGAAUAUCAAUAUAAUCAACCUAUUCAAACCCAAAAAAAAUCCAUAAAUAUAAGCUGCAAAAUAAGGAAGAAUAUGCAGGUAAAAGAAGAAGGCUAACCUCAAUGUCAGAUAUUGCUGUAAGCAACCCACAAUCCUAAUUGACUAUGCGAUUAUCCCUGCAAACAAAACAUACCAACGAAAUCCAAAAAGCUUAGCAACCAAAGUGAAGAAAAAUUCAAAGACAAGAAGGUAAUUUAUAAACUUAUAGAUGUGGAUGAUUAUAUAAGGUAAUUGGUGUACACGGUUGUCAAGUUUCAAUCCUUAUCCCGAAAAAAAAAAAACAUUCAGUUAGAGAUGUUAUUUUAUAAAGGGAAUGGGUGUAAAGAUAACUUUAUAUUUUGAAUUGGGUUUGAGAGGGUAGUGUAGGUAAUAAAUUUGGGUUUAAAGAGAUAUUAAUUCUUUAAUUAAAAAAAAAUAUGUAUGAAGAGAGUAAGUUGGAUGUAGAAAGAGGUUAGAUGUGUUCAAAUAAACUUGCCCUUUUCUUUUUUAAUUUUUCCUCCAAAUUUAUUUCGUUAACAAUUUUGGGGAAAAAAAUCUUUUGUGCCUCUGCUUCCCAAUUCCUGUAUGCAUCGAAGAAAAAAAAAGGAAAAAUCGAAAGGUGGGAGUGGAGUUGGAAGACUGAGGCGGGACGAGAAUGAGACAAAUUUUGGGAUUUCAGAGGGAAAUGCACAAAACACAAAAGAGUUUUGUGAAAUCUUCAAUUUUUUUAUUUUUUAUUUUUUAAUAUUCAUGUGGACUGAUAUUGACACGUGACGUCCAAUCAUCGUCCACGUAGCACCACAUCCCCGGUUAACAACUGAUUUAACAGCAAACUUAACAAAUGUAUGAAAGACAAAUAUAUGAAAGUAACCCAAAAUUAUGACUUCAGGUAUCACUCUCGGAUGAAAAAAACUUGAUACACUAAAUGUUGAAAACCAAAAAACUUCAUGGUAGUAAAAUGAGAUUAAACCUUAAAUAGAAAGUACAAAAAUGUAACGGGAUUUCUUUUCAUUUUUUUGUCUGUAGGAAAAUGUAAUGCCAUACAUUCCAACCCUUCUUAUUCUUUACCAUUCCCUAACUUUGUUUGCUUAAAUAGCUGCGAAGAAAUACAUAAAUUGUAAUGAUCUCUCCUGUCUCACACUCACUCACACGCGCACACUAUUCGAAUCCUCCGCUGUCCUCUCCAUCCAUGUUGGUAUCUCUGUCAUAUAUAGCUAGUGUGAAGCGGCAUGGCAUGGCGGUGAAAUAUCUUACGUGCUGUAAGGCGGGGGCAUAGGCAUGCCCUUGACGAGGCCACAGACAAGGGCGUUGUCUGGCAUGUUGUACUCGUUCCUGAGGGAGCGUUUAAUAUUUUCAACUCCCACGUAGAGCUGUUGUCCUAGGUAGCGCCUCUCCGGCUGCUCUGACCUAAGAUUCCACAUUCCAGCGUUGUCGAAUGUUAAUAGGAUGGCAGCCCAAGAUUUGGGGAACACUUGGAUGGUGUGCCUGCUCAUGGCGUCGAGAAGGUUGUAGUUCUUCCUCUUUUCUGGGGUCCACUUCCCGGGCUCCACGCUGACGAUCAGUAGUCACACAGAUAGAGAAGAAAUCAUUAACAAUAUGAUACAUAUUUUGACGAAACUAUACAAGUAUAUAUUCUUAGUUAAAAGUGAAGUAGCUAUAUAUAUGUGCGUGCGUGCACGUGUGAGAAAGAGAGAAAGAGAAAGAGAGAAAAUGCAGGCAUGCAUAGCUGCACUUACGCGACGGCGAAAAAGGCGUAUCCGUUCAAAUGCCAAGUCUGGAGGCUCUUCUCCGGGUUCUCAAAGAUGAUCUCCACAAAGUCUUUUAUGGUUAUAUUGAGAACAUUGGGUUCCAUGGUGAUCUUUUCUGCAGGUGAUUGGGGAUCAACCUUCAUGGUGUCGAACUUGAAGACCUUCUCACGGAUUCCAUAGUAGUCGGCCAACUUGAGUGGGGUUUCAGGGUCCACGUGGGAGAUUCCGUUGAUGGCAUAGCGAAGCUUCCCGUCGGCCUUGCUAGCAGAGUUGAUGAGCUUGAUGGUGCGGGUGAUGUUAAUCUUUCCAUAGUGGUAGGAUCCCUGAGGGUUAGGCCUAGCUGCGCUGGCAGUGAGGUUCCAGCGAAAGGAACGGAACUGGUUGAGAGACCAGGCCCAUCCCACAGGAGCCUUGGGAACUUCAGGGGAGACAGGUCCCUUACCAUUUUCGUAUCUGAUGAUGCCUUUGCCGGUGAGCACGCUCUUGGUGAAUCGGGUGGAAGCCACCAUGUAGUAGUCCUUGGGUUCCUUGUCGGCAGUGACAAGCAUAGAGAAACAUUGGCCAAUAUGCACAUCAAGCGAAUCAUAG
rnacentral:lncRNA from 1 species